UUUCACACCUGGAUGUGCUCACUCAACCAAGAAUAUAGAGAAAGAGCUUCUGCCCUGAGACUCAGAAAAAUAUUCUCCUGUGCUUCGGUUCAGUAUAGAUUUCUAGACCCUGAUCAUUGCUUAAGAGAUAUUCACUGAGGUUGCUGAGACAAAGGAAAACCCACUCCCUUGGAGGAGCAUGACCUUUUCCUGUAUUGCUUCCCACUGCUGUUGUUGAGCUCCUUGGACCUUGGCUUCUGGACACCAUCAUCAAGAAGACUUUAUGGAUGGGCUAUCCACCCACUGAGAGAAGAGGAGCAUCAGCUACAGUUUCUGUCUAGAUUGCCUUCUUCAUUUUGAGUAAUGACUGUCAGCAGGGUCAGAUUAAAGACAAAACAACUGGACAAUUGCUUGGAGGACUAAACUAUAAGGGCACUAACAUGUCAGUAGUAUGCUAACACAUCCAUGGAAAAUAUAUUUACCAGCCCUUCUCUCAGGAUUCUGUGUGGGGUUGGAAGGAAUGGUUUGUUAAAUUCCUUAGGGGUAGAAAGUAGGGCAUAAUCAGAAUACAGAGGAAUAUGCUGUUUCACUUCAGGGUUUCUGUUUUUCUUACUAGGAUAUAUAAAACAGGAGCUCUAGCUAGAUUGUUUAUGACCACAGAGGGCAGGCUGAGCACUCCCAUGGUCUUCCUGCUUGGCUCUUGCCCAUACAGAGCUCAGCCUUUCCUCUAAUAAAGAUUGAACAAGUAGUGGUCUGAGGGAGACACCAAUUCAUUACCCUACAUGUCUCUUCUCUGCACUCUAGGGCUUUGAUAAUAAAGACACUGGCAGACUAUCUGUCUUCCAUUUCUAUAAUGUGAGCCCUUAGGGAGUCUUCAUUCACUUGGGGGUGAGGGUCAUUGCUCACAGAGUAGUUCAAGUCAAAUGGAACUUGAACUCUUUGCCUAUGGGCCUGGUGGUCAGACUCUGUGUUGAGUUCAUUGGAUUAUUGGAGACACGAGGUAGAGCUGAACGCUUCAAAAAUAUUUGGCUAAAGGAUGACAUUGCUGGUUAUUUGUAGAUAAAGCCAUGAUGGAACCUGCUUGGAAUCAUGAAAUAUGGAACUGGUGGUCAUGUUUAAAAAUACAACUAAUAGUUAAGUACCUACUGGACACUGUAGAGACUUAGGGACAAGACAGACAUGGUUCCUGCCCCCAUGGAGCUUACACUGUAGCUUUCCCUUAGGUAUGAAGAACAGUGGCUACAACUAACAAAUGGCCACAAAGAUAUCAUUGAGCCAGUGUUCCAAUCAUUAGGGUAAUUCCUAUUUCCUUAAUCAUGCCUAUUGACCAUGUUCUAUAAGCCUGCAUUCUAUAAAUGGCCUAUGAGCAUGGGCUGUUUCCCCCCAGCAAGUUGUACAAAGUUCUGUGGUACCAGAGAAAGGGCUUAAGGUUAGCAGGGCCUCUGGGGAAGGACAUAUGUAGUGACUUGGGUUAGGAAACAGGAAGGGAUAGGAUUGAAGAACAGCUGUUGCUUCUGUUCUAUAUAGGAAACUGCAGCGUGAAAAAUUCUGGGCUGGGAAUUUUGAGACCUGGGUUUUAGUUUGUGUUCUAAUACUAACAAGCUAUGUGACCGUGGGUAAGUCACUUCACAUUCCACUUGGAUGCCUCUUGAGUGACUCCAGGCCUCUCCAGCUCUAAAACAUUAAGAUCAGGCCCUACGCUACAGCUGGCCAGUGUGUAAUUCUCCUGUUUCUAUGCUGUUAGGUCAAAUAGAUCUUCAAUAGUUACUUGAUUGUUAUUACUUUUUUCUGAAGUGGAUGUUUUAUCAAUGUUUUAGGAUACAGUGAGUCUGCUUCUGCCCUUUGGAGUUAGGAAGGUUGUAGGAAUAUACACUGUAGAGCAUAUGGGAGCUUUAUCCCCUCCUUUUUACCCCCCUACCUUUCUCCCUCUCCUUCCCUUCCUCACAUUUCUAUUGAGCAUAUGUCAUUGCCGUGUACCAGGUGUGUGCUAGAUUUGGAGAUACAAGGUAAACCUGAGACUUUCCCAGACUCCAGGAGACAAAACCCUAAUUUCUGUCAUCUGCUGGCUUUCUCUUUGGAAAGAAUCAACGAUAUCCCAGGGGAAUGUGCCCAUGUCCCAGGGUAACCAACUACAGACAGAUGCCCCAUUCUACUCAAACAACUUUUAGAGUGCCUUGAGAUACACAUCAGAUAAUUAUGCAGGGCCGGGCAUGGUGCUGCACACUUGUAAUCACAGCACUUUGGGAGGCCGAGGCAGCAGAUUGCUUGAGCCCAGGAAUUCAAGCAUAGCCUAGGGAACAUGGCAAAACCCCAGCUCUACAAAAAAAAUACACAAAUUAGCUGCGUGUGGUGGCCCAUGACUGUAGUACAAGCUACUCAGGAGGCUGAGGUGGGAGGAUUGCUUGAGCCUGUGAGGUUGAGGCUGCAGUGAGCCGAGAUCAUGCCAUUGCACUCCAGCCUGGGUGACAUAGGGAGACCCUAUCUUGGAAAAAAAAAAAAAAGAUAAUCAUUCAGCCCUAGAGUCAUUGUGAAAAGAUCUAUCUUCAGAUAUAAGGAAGAAACAAUUUUUUAUUUCUUAGGAUAAAUCUGUAGAAGGACCUCCAGACAGUGAAGGCCACUGACUACUUUAUACUUUGUAAGCCAUCCCUUCCCUGGUAGGAAGGACUACUUUCCAGUCUUACAAAGUACCUCUCAGCAAAUAGACGUUUUCAUAUAUACUGUGAUUGAUACAUCCCUAUGGCUGGUGACCUCUUUAAAAAGGAAAGAAAAAAGCCUAAUCAAACAAAAAGAUGUUGCUAGUAAUUCUUACCCUAUUGUGAAUCCUAUAUAAGCAAAUUUGUAUCUUUGUUUUUUCCAACAUUAGCAGAUCUAUUUGAUAUAUAUCUCUGAGUGCAGAAAAUAUUUUAUGGAAAAAUCAAUAUAUGGAAUUUCAAAUUCAGAAUUGCUGAUACACACUAUUUGGUUUCAGAAUUUUAUCCUAGGAAAUAGUAUUAGGGAUUUCAAUUUCUGGCUUAAAUGGUAGAAUUAAUUACUCUUAACUCUUAAUUUUACUUCUGAGUUGAGGUCAAGGAACAGGCAGACACCUCCAGUUAACGUCUAUACGUCUCCAUGGCCAAGAGUUUUAAUUUUCUCGUCUUCAGUUUUGUAGAUGUACAUCAUUACUAAAUGCAUUGAUUAGUAUUUUAUUUCCUCUCCUUGUCCUUACUUUCCCUCUGGUAAAUAUGUUAUAAACAGUGUAAGGCUCCUAAGAUAGAGUGGCUGGUAGGACUUAGAAGAGAAACAAAGGGCAUUGAUAACUCACAUAAAUGGAAAAUUGGCUCUGGAAUAAUUGACAACAUAUUCAAGUAUUUUAGUGCAGUGUCACUCUCAUUAAGAAGAAGACAAUCAGUAAAUCUAUGUGACUCUAAACAUUCUAAUGAAAGAGGAAUAUUCUGUCAAUUAUCUCACAUUUCUAAAUAUCUAGAUAUUGGCCACUGUAAAGACAAAACAUACAGAUGAUGGACUUGUCUUUCCACCUCUCAUUUGCAUGGUUUGGAGCAUUGUACCUCCAGCCAUUGACUCUAAGGCAAUUUAUAUUUGCUUCCUCUUCCCUCUUGAGAGAAAACAAAAAUCUUAUUUUUCCAAGCAAUUAAAACUCUUCUGCUUCAGCUAGGAUGAAAGAAUUAGGAGUUCUGUCUCCUUGUAUCUAAUUGCAUGUUUCAUCUUUCUUGUUUUAAUGAUUGACAGAAAACUAAUAAACUGAGACAUCUUUGAAUCCAGGUUGAAUGUACUCUCUUGGUGGCCCCAUUGCUAAUUUGUUUGACUAUUUUGCAGGAUUUCUUACUCUGUAAUGGAAAGGUUUAUUAAAUAUGAGGGAUGCAAA
rnacentral:antisense_RNA from 1 species